GUGCACAUGGCUGGGGACACCGGGAUGGCUGGGAAGGUGGCACUGCUCCUGUGGGCCCAGACCCUCAGCCUUGCUGGUGCCCAGACCACCCAGCUCCUGGUGGAGCCCCCCUGGAGGCCGGCGGUGCUGUGGGAC